GACAGAGGUGCCAAGCGUUAGGCGGAAUCACUGGGCUUAAAGCGUGUGUAGGUGGAUUUGUAAGUACCUUGUGAAAUCCCAUGGCUCAACCAUGGAACUGCUCGGUAUACUGCGAAUCUUGAGCCACUUAGGGGCUACCGGAACAAAUGGUGGAGCGGUGAAAUGCGUAGAUAUCAUUUGGAACGCCAAUGGUGAAAAACAGGUAGCUGGGAGUGUGCUGACACUGAGACACGAAAGCCAGGGGAGCGAACGGG
rnacentral:rRNA from 1 species